UACGUAGGUGGCAAGCGUUGUUCGGAAUUAUUGGGCGUAAAGGGCGCGUAGGCGGCUUGUUAAGUCGGCUGUGAAAGCCCGGGGCUCAACCCCGGAGGGUCAGCCGAUACUGGCAGGCUAGAGUACGGAAGAGGUAGCUGGAAUUCCCGGUGUAGCGGUGAAAUGCGUAGAGAUCGGGAGGAACACCAGAGGCGAAGGCGGCCACCUGGACAAGCACUGACACUCAACUGCGAAAGCGUGGGGAGCAAACAGG
rnacentral:rRNA from 1 species